CUCUUGCUGGCCCCACCUUCUCACUGACCUGCCUUUUCAUUGGCCCUGCCUUCUCACUGGCCCCACCUUCUUGCUGGCCCCUCAGGUCCUUCCAUCCUCCCUCCUUGUGGUUGCAUGGCUUCCCACAUUCUGUGCCUCUGGUGGCACAGGGUUCCAGCACCAUCAUUAGCUGCGAGGGUGAUCCCUGCAAGUCCCCUGAGAUUCGAAAUUUACCUUCCUCCUCUGUGAAAUGAGAAGACUGGACUGGCGCCCUUCUAAGGAUGUCUGCUGGAGGUCAGGUCUCUGGCUCGGGACAGACACAGAUGUGAGAGAAUCGCACCACUCUUGCUGGACUGGCACACCAGGCCCACAUAGUGACUCAGCCAUGCAGCCCUCGGCCCCACAGCAGUGUCUUCCGAUGAAGGUCCAGGGCUGCAUCCCAAACACCCCCACCGACAGCUCAGCCAACAGGACGGAUCACGACUGAAACAGAUGUUCUUGCUCCCCCGGCCAAAAAGUUGGAGUCCCUCCCUGGAGAUGAGACACUUCCCUUUGACACCAGAAGCACCUUCCUGAUUUCAUCAGAUGAGAUACUUGUUUGGGGAAUGACCCCAAUGUCUUGCCUUAAGCAAACAAAUAAAAUGUUUGAAUUUAGUGAGGGCAUGAACCCGAUAUGUAAAAUGUAGAGUUAGGAAAAUUAUAUUGUAUAGAAAAUAGCACAUUAUUUCCCUGGUGAGCCAGCAACCUCCCAAAAUAAUUGUGUAAAACAGAGGAUAAAAAGAGCUCAGCAAGAAACCCUUAUGUCCUCGAGAAGGCAACCAAAUUGGAGAAUGAGGUUUAGUAUACGGUAUUUCUCAACAAGAACUGUAAAACUGAAUUAAAACCUGAAAGCAAUGAUAAAACUCUUACUAAAAUAUGUAGUCCAUGCAUUUCUUCUGUGUGAUUCUUCCGUGCGAUUCUUUAGAACUGAA
rnacentral:lncRNA from 1 species